rnacentral:rRNA from 2 species
AACCUGGGAACUGCAUUCGAAACUGGCAGGCUAGAGUCUUGUAGAGGGGGGUAGAAUUCCAGGUGUAGCGGUGAAAUGCGUAGAGAUCUGGAGGAAUACCGGUGGCGAAGGCGGCCCCCUGGACAAAGACUGACGCUCAGGUGCGAAAGCGUGGGGAGCAAACAGGAUUAGAUACCCUGGUAGUCCACGCCGUAAACGAUGUCGAUUUGGAGGUUGUGCCCUUGAGGCGUGGCUUCCGGAGCUAACGCGUUAAAUCGACCGCCUGGGGAGUACGGCCGCAAGGUUAAAACUCAAAUGAAUUGACGGGGGCCCGCACAAGCGGUGGAGCAUGUGGUUUAAUUCGAUGCAACGCGAAGAACCUUACCUGGUCUUGACAUCCACAGAACUU